ensembl:lncRNA
ACACACACACACACACACACACACACACACACAUACAGACACAUUUAUUAUGAUGCAUAAUUGUAAUAAUUAUUCAGUGUAUGUGUAUUUUGUUUUGCAUUCUUUUCUAAUUCAAUACAUUUUCCAUCUAAAUAAUCAUAAGCAUUAUAAAUCAGGAGAAAGGGUAAACAUGAAUUUGAGGAAAAUAUAAAAUUCUAGAGUGCUGAUCAAAGGUGAAAUAAUACAGGUGUCAAUGUACUGUCAUUAUAGAAUGUCAGAUUCAUAUUUAUCCACUCUGUUGUUGUGUUUGAGGUUCACAGGGGGUCCGGAUGUCUCGCGCAGCUGGAAAGUGCAGUCUGCUCUUCCACACGACACUGACACUGAGAGGAAAUAUAUAUCGCUCAGAGGCUCGAACCCUCUUCAGACAGAACCAGCGGAUAUCAGAGCCAGAAUCAAUCACGAGAUGCACUGAAGAGUGUGAAGCUCGGAGAGAGAUAGGACUGCAUUAUAGCAUCCCCUAUCCGAGAUCAAUGUCUGAACAAGGAUACAGUCAAGAUGCACAACUAGAUUACACUGGAUCACACACGUCUAUCAAGACGACAACCAGCCGGACAUUCAGGGACAAGACACGUCAGAAUUACACUAGCACUCAAGAUUUUGGAAUAGGAUUUUUUUAAUGUUUCUGUUCGCCAAGGCUGCAUUUCUUUGACCAAAAAUACAGUAAAAUUGUGAAAUACUACAAUUUAAAAGAACAGUUUUCUAUUCAGUUUACUAUAUUCUAUUGCUGCUGAAGGAAGAAUGAAAAGCCAUUUCUUCUUAUUGUUAAGGAUGAAAGCAGUGGUGAUGGCUCAUAUAUUUGUGGAAACCGUGAUAUUUUACCAUUCAAAAGUUUGGGGUAAGUAAGAGAGAGAAAGAAGUAAGAAAGAAAAUAAGUAAGAUAAGAAAAAAAGUUAAUCAGUAAUGAUGCAUUAAAUUGAUCAAACGUGACAGUGAAGACCGCUAUUAAUAAUUGAGGACCAAUAAUAAUUGAUCAUUACAGAGUAACAAAUCAGCAUAGUAUGAUUUCUGAAGAUUGUGUGAUACUGAAGACUGGAGUAAUUAUGUUGAAAAUUCAGCUGCGCAUCACAGAAAUAAAUUAGAUUUUAAAGUAUAUUAAAAUAGAAAA